rnacentral:siRNA from 1 species
CGUAAAAAAGCUCGGCAAACUGUC